rnacentral:rRNA from 1 species
GAUGAACGCUGGCGGCGUGCCUAAUACAUGCGAGUCGAGCGAACAGACGAGGAGCUUGCUCCUCUGACGUUAGCGGCGGACGGGUGAGUAACACGUGGAUAACCUACCUAUAAGACUGGGAUAACUUCGGGAAACCGGAGCUAAUACCGGAUAAUAUAUUGAACCGCAUGGUUCAAUAGUGAAAGACGGUUUUGCUGUCACUUAUAGAUGGAUCCGCGCCGCAUUAGCUAGUUGGUAAGGUAACGGCUUACCAAGGCAACGAUGCGUAGCCGACCUGAGAGGGUGAUCGGCCAUACUGGAACUGAGACACGGUCCAGACUCCUACGGGAGGCAGCAGUAGGGAAUCUUCCGCAAUGGGCGAAAGCCUGACGGAGCAACGCCGCGUGAGUGAUGAAGGUCUUCGGAUCGUAAAACUCUGUUAUUAGGGAAGAACAAAUGUGUAAGUAACUAUGCACGUCUUGACGGUACCUAAUCAGAAAGCCACGGCUAACUACGUG